rnacentral:misc_RNA from 1 species
UACGGAGGGUGCGAGCGUUAAUCGGAAUUACUGGGCGUAAAGGGUGCGUAGGUUGCUCAUUAAGUUAUCUGUGAAAUACCCGGGCUUAACCUGGGUCUGUCAGAUAAAACUGGAGGGCUUGAGUAUAGGAGAGGGCAGUGGAAUUUCCGGUGUAGCGGUGAAAUGCGUAGAGAUCGGAAGGAACACCAGUGGCGAAGGCGGCUGCCUGGCCUAAUACUGACACUGAGGCACGAAAGCGUGGGUAGCAAACAGG